GCAGGCUGCAACUCGCCUGCAUGAAGCUGGAAUUGCUAGUAAUCGCGGAUCAGCAAGCCGCGGUGAAUACGUUCCCGGGCCUUGUACACACCGCCCGUCACACCAUGAGAGUCGGGAACACCCGAAGUCCGUAGUCUAACCGCAAGGGGGGCGCGGCCGAAGGUGGGUCCGGUAAUUGGGGUGAAGUCGUAACAAGGUACC
rnacentral:rRNA from 1 species